rnacentral:rRNA from 1 species
UGCCAGCAGCCGCGGUAAUACGGAGGGAGCUAGCGUUGUUCGGAAUUACUGGGCGUAAAGCGUGCGUAGGCGGAUCGACAAGUUGGGGGUGAAAUCCCGGGGCUUAACCCCGGAACUGCCCUCAAAACUGUCGAUCUAGAGACCGGGAGAGGUAAGCGGAAUUCCUAGUGUAGAGGUGAAAUUCGUAGAUAUUAGGAAGAACACCAGUGGCGAAGGCGGCUCACUGGAUCUCUUCUGACGCUGAGGAACGAAAGCUAGGGUAGCGAACGGGAUUAGAUA